rnacentral:rRNA from 1 species
UACGUAGGGUGCGAGCGUUAAUCGGAAUUACUGGGCGUAAAGCGUGCGCAGGCGGUAAUGCAAGACAGAUGUGAAAUCCCCGGGCUUAACCUGGGAACUGCAUUUGUGACUGCAUUGCUGGAGUGCGGCAGAGGGGGAUGGAAUUCCGCGUGUAGCAGUGAAAUGCGUAGAUAUGUGGAGGAACACCGAUGGCGAAGGCAGCCCCCUGGGCUAACACUGACGCUCAUGCACGAAAGCGUGGGGAGCAAACAGG